rnacentral:rRNA from 1 species
CCUACGGGAGGCAGCAGUGGGGAAUCUUGCGCAAUGGGCGAAAGCCUGACGCAGCAACGCCGCGUGCGGGAAGAAGGCUUUCGGGCUGUAAACCGCUUUCAGCAGGAACGAAAAUGACGGUACCUGCAGAAGAAGGAGCGGCCAACUAUGUGCCAGCAGCCGCGGUGAUACAUAGGCUUCAAGCGUUGUCCGGAUUUAUUGGGCGUAAAGAGUUCGUAGGCGGUCGAGUAAGUCGGGUGUGAAAAUUCUGGGCUCAACCCAGAGACGCCACCCGAUACUGCUUGACUUGAGUUCGAUAGGGGAGUGGGGAAUUCCUAGUGUAGCGGUGAAAUGCGCAGAUAUUAGGAGGAACACCGGUGGCGAAGGCGCCACUCUGGAUCGAUACUGACGCUGAGGAACGAAAGCAUGGGUAGCAAACAGGAUUAGAUACCCUGGUAGUCCAUGCCGUAAACGGUGGGCACUAGGUGUGGGUUUCUAUUAACGAAUUCCGCGCCGUCGCUAACGCAUUAAGUGCCCCGCCUGGGGAUACGGUCGCAAGACUAAAACUCAAAGGAAUUGACGGCUGAGACGNGCGAGACGACACGAGGAGAGG